CCGAUACAAUGUCCUUGAUGUGUACAGGUUACAUUAGGGAGGGCAUUCUGACAAAGUUGGUAAUCUAACGUAGUGUUCUGAAAGUAUACAGGUUAUGUUACAUCAAGUUAGGCACUCUUGAUAGCAAGAGCCUCCCAUCUGAGGUAAGAAUAAUUUUCUGUGGGCCUAGUUGAUACAUAGUUGACAAAUAUUUUUCAAAGUGCAAACCAGGAACAUGGCACAAAAGGAAGGUCAUUCACAGAACAGGCGCUAAACAGUUGAAGUAGCGCCUGCCCUGUGAAUGACCUUCCUUGUGUGUUCGUUCAAUCCUGCUCAUUCCAAUGUUUCUGCAAAAAAUACAAAAGAUGAAAACAUAAUUUGCUGUUCUGUUUCUUGUUUGCACUUUGAAAAAUAUCUGAGGUAAGGUUUUUGCAAUUUUUGCAGUACAUUUGAUAUUGGUAAUCAAAAACUGCUCUGGGCGAUCUUUUUAGCUCACCUCUAAAAAGGUGUACUAAGUGACUAGCCCGUCUCUGAAGUUGCAGCUUGACCUUGAUGCUUCUAAGCCUAGCGACAGUGAAUCCUGUGUUGUAAGCUGGGCUAAUCAGUUGGCAUGACAAUAGCCAUCAAUCAGCAUGCUUCUGACCCCAUGUAGUUGCCAAAUUCUGAAACUAAAAUCUGGAGGGCGGUUUCACUCUAAAAGAGAGCUUUUUCAGCAACAGCUGAAGUCAUGGUCAUUUUGACUAGCAAAGAAUUUGAGGGGAAACUCGUACA
rnacentral:lncRNA from 1 species